GUGAAUCAUCAAAUCUUUGAACGCAAAUUGCACUCUCCUCGGAGAGUAUGCCUGUUUGUGGGUCAGUCUAAAAAAAAUCGACAUCGUUGCUGUUCUGCGGUGACGUUCUUCGGAAAUUGGGUUAUCUUAACCCUUUUGGUUUAAGCUACUUAAAAUUUUACUUUUGAUUCCAUGCACGUUUCUAAGAUUUAUUUGUUUAAAUGUUUAUGGUAUCGAUUUUUAUUUGAGGUGGCCGUGAUA
rnacentral:misc_RNA from 1 species